UUGGCUCAGAACGAACGCUGGCGGCAGGCCUAACACAUGCAAGUCGAACGGUAACAGGAAGCAGCUUGCUGCUUCGCUGACGAGUGGCGGACGGGUGAGUAAUGUCUGGGAAACUGCCUGAUGGAGGGGGAUAACUACUGGAAACGGUAGCUAAUACCGCAUAACGUCGCAAGACCAAAGAGGGGGACCUUCGGGCCUCUUGCCAUCGGAUGUGCCCAGAUGGGAUUAGCUAGUAGGUGGGGUAACGGCUCACCUAGGCGACGAUCCCUAGCUGGUCUGAGAGGAUGACCAGCCACACUGGAACUGAGACACGGUCCAGACUCCUACGGGAGGCAGCAGUGG
rnacentral:rRNA from 1 species